GCGUAAAACUACUAAGUCUCCGUACUCGAAAUAACGUCUAUAAAAUUUUGCACUGAAAUAAGCCCAUAGGCCAAUAACACCAAGACACCAAACCAACCCACCUCACAGACGAUAAAAACAACUGAAGCACUCCAGUGAAUCAGUAGCUUUACUAUUUCAGAAAUUCAGAAAUUCAGACUUCAGUUGCUGUUUCAACUGUGGUGUGUAAGGUGUACUCGUUGGUGUUGUUGACUUCUUGUUUGGUGUUAUAGGCCUACAAGACUAUUGCAGUGCUGAAGCUUGUAGAAGUUCUUUAUAGACUUCAGAGAAUCUAUUGGUCUAGGACUACUGAUUUUCAUUCCACAAUAUCAGCUAGACUUGAAGCUGAAAACUGUUUACGAAGUAACGGAGAAGCUUAUUGUGUAAAAUAAGAGAGGUACUGUUACAAUUCAGUUCUAAAUAAGAUCAUGAAGAGGAAUGACGAAGUGAGAAGAAAUAGUUCAGCUAGAGGAGAAAGGGGGCACUAUAAUGACCCUUGGAUCAGAAUCUUGUCCUACUUCGUCGCUGCCUCUUGCAGCGAGGGUCAACUCUAUGCAAGUCUCCUCGACGCCUUGGGCUUGAAGCUGUUUCAGGGCAGUGACAUACUGCAGGAGCAAGAGACAAGUCUGUCGCUCCCAUUCCAGUGGGGCUUUCAGCAAAUCUGGAAGGCUUUCAUCUGCUAGUGUUCUCAAGGUAGUAAGGUUCAAGGAUGGUAGAACCCAUACAGUUCCUGCAAUGAGAAUUUUUCCAGUCUUAUGCGACACCAAGUGUGUGGGAAGCUGAUCUUUGAACUCUGUGAUGGGCAUUGUGGUCAAGAGAUGGUGGGCAUCCACUUUCGUCUCUGGGGUCAACAUGAGCGUUAUGUCCUUUCCACAGGCGACUCCUUG